GCCCCCGUGGCGGAACUGGUAGACGCGUCGGAUUCAAAAUCCGAUUUCUUCGGAAGUGCCAGUUCGAGUCUGGCCGGGGGCA
rnacentral:tRNA from 1 species